CGGGGGGCUGCAGUGAGGAAUUUUGCGCAAUGGGGGAAACCCUGACGCAGCAACGCCGCGUGAGUGAUGAAGGCUUUCGAGUCGUAAAGCUCUGUCAAGUGGGAAGAACAUGUUUGAUGUUAAUACCAUCUUACACUGACGGUACCACUGAAGGAAGCACCGGCUAACUCCGUGCCAGCAGCCGCGGUAAUACGGGGGGUGCAAGCGUUAUUCGGAUUUAUUGGGCGUAAAGGGCGCGUAGGCGGUCUCUAAUGUCAGAUGUGAAAGCCCGGGGCUCAACCCUGGAAGUGCAUUUGAAACUUAGUGACUUGAGUAUGGGAGAGGGAAGUGGAAUUCCUGGUGUAGCGGUGAAAUGCGUAGAUAUCAGGAGGAACACCGGUGGCGAAGGCGACUUCCUGGACCAAUACUGACGCUGAGGCGCGAAGGCGUGGGGAGCAAACAGGAUUAGAUACCCCUGUAGUC
rnacentral:rRNA from 1 species